CAAAGAUCAGCUCCUUUAUAUAGAUUGAAAUCAGCAAUUUUUGCUCAUUUUUAACUUAGAAAAAAAUUUCAGCUUCUAGGUUUUUCUCUCUUGUUAUCUCUUGGCUAUGAAGUAACCCUAUAUUCCCACAAGGGUUCUUGGAAUUUACCUUCCUCCCAAGAUAAAGGUAUUAAUCUAUUGAAGAGAUACAAAUUAAGAGGCUAAACUAACAAGGAAAUCAAGAUAAGUAACCUAAAAGGCAGGAAGUCAAGUCGGGUUAGUUUCGGAGUUAUAUAACCAGGUGGCAGCUCAGGGGCGUAAGCCUAGCAUAGGCACCAAGUGAGCAGAAAAGUUGGACAAAAAAAUAAAGGAGUAGACAUGCCCUCGGUUAUCUCAAUUGCGGUCCUCAUAUGCGAUUACGGUUACCUGCUUGUCUGCAUAACUAUCAAUCAGCCGCGAUCAUGGACAAAGAAGCUAAUUGAUUCAAUGACUACUCCUUAAUUUCCUCACAUUCUCGCUCGAGUUCUUGCAUACAGGGAUGGUCUGAUCUCAAGAUAAAUGGUGAUGGUGUAGAGUUUAAAAAUGAUUGUGGUCUUUGAUUGAGUUUCAGGGAGCACCCUUAUUUCUUUAUUAGCUUUUAUAUUCAUGCAAUAUGGACACUGAUACCUUUUUAGUUGGGUUUUUUUUCCCUUAUUCAAGUCAUUUCAGCCUA